UGCCUGCUGAGCUUUCCGAGGCAGUUAAAAAUAACUGCAGGCUGAUUCUACUGACACACUAAAAAUUGGACCUGCUCUACAUUUUAUGUUGUAUUUGCUGCUGCUUUGACAAAUCUGGUACAGUCUGGAGGUCCUUAAACCUUCUGUGAAGUUAGGUCGACCAAGUGCUCUCAAUACCCCAGUUCUGACUAGCAGCUGUUUUCCCUUACAGCCCAAAGAGGAUCAGCAUUUGCUUUGUCUCAUGAAAAAUGCCAGUGACCAAGAACAUACAAGCUGGACAAAGAAAUUCAGCUUAAUAUAAAUUCAUGAAAUAAAGGUGUCCUUCUCUGAAGAUAAGGCUUUGCUUUAUACAAGUGGUCUGCAAUGCAAAUGCAGUCCUUCCUGUUUGCUAAGGGAAGUCAACAAAACCUUGUGAGAGUUACAUUUUACCCCCUUGUUCCAGUCAGUGUCUGCCUGCCUGUGGCCCUGCUCUGCCUGAGGAAGCACCAUGGGGCUGAGAAAAGUACAAUUGAAGAGCAUGGAGCAUUCUGAUAUGUAUAACUCUUUGUAUCAAAGUCACCUGUGGGCCUCUCAUCCAACCAAAACUUCUGUAAGAAGGGAGACUGCAUUUCAGAAUAAAACCUUCUCUGGGAUUCAGUGCC